rnacentral:pre_miRNA from 1 species
AAAGUACUCUCUCCGUUCGAAAAUACUUGUCAUAGAAAUGAAUGUAUCUAGAUGUAUUUUAGUUCUAGAUACAUUUAUUUUCGUACAUGUACGCGACAAGUAAUUCUAGAUGGAGGAAGUAUAUA